rnacentral:rRNA from 1 species
UACGAAGGGGGCUAGCGUUGUUCGGAAUCACUGGGCGUAAAGCGCACGUAGGCGGAUCUUUAAGUCAGGGGUGAAAUCCCGAGGCUCAACCUCGGAACUGCCUUUGAUACUGGGGAUCUCGAGUCCGGGAGAGGUGAGUGGAACUGCGAGUGUAGAGGUGAAAUUCGUAGAUAUUCGGAAGAACACCAGUGGCGAAGGCGGCUCACUGGACUGGUAUUGACGCUGAGGUGCGAAAGCGUGGGGAGCAACAGG